rnacentral:rRNA from 1 species
UUCUCCUGGAAACGGGUGGUAAUGCCGGAUGUUCCACAUGAGCGCAUGCGAGUGUGGGAAAGGCUUUUUGCGGCAUGGGAUGGGGUCGCGUCCUAUCAGCUUGUUGGUGGGGUAACGGCCUACCAAGGCGUUGACGGGUUGCCGGCCUGAGAGGGCGACCGGCCACAUUGGGACUGAGAUACGGCCCAGACUCCUACGGGAGGCAGCAGUGGGGAAUAUUGCACAAUGGGCGCAAGCCUGAUGCAGCGACGCCGCGUGCGGGAUGGAGGCCUUCGGGUUGUAAACCGCUUUUGUUCAAGGGCAAGGCACGGUUUCGGCCGUGUUGAGUGGAUUGUUCGAAUAAGCACCGGCUAACUACGUGCCAGCAGCCGCGGUAAUACGUAGGGUGCAAGCGUUAUCCGGAUUUAUUGGGCGUAAAGGGCUCGUAGGCGGUUCGUCGCGUCCGGUGUGAAAGUCCAUCGCUUAACGGUGGAUCCGCGCCGGGUACGGGCGGGCUUGAGUGCGGUAGGGGAGACUGGAAUUCCCGGUGUAACGGUGGAAUGUGUAGAUAUCGGGAAGAACACCA